AAGUUAAAGCACGGCGCAAAGUUGAUUUGAAACCAACUUCAUAGUGUUCGACUCACUAGUUAACUUACC
rnacentral:tRNA from 1 species